rnacentral:lncRNA from 1 species
CUCUCAUUCAGAUUUGAAGGAGAAAGCAAAACCUUCACAGAUAAGCAAAAGCUGAAAGACUUCAGCAAUACUAAACCAGCCUUACAACAAAUACUAAAGGAACUUCUCUAGGCAAAAAAGAAAACACAACAGGAAACAAAAAUUCCACAAAUGACAAGGCUCACCAGUAAAGGUAUAUAUACAGUAAAGAUAUGAAAUCAUCCAUGCACAAUUAUACCACCAAAAUCAGAAAUCAUGAGAAGAGGUGGGUACAAAUGCAGGACACUGGAGAUGAACUUGCAAUCAAGAGAACAACAACUUAAAACAAUCUCAUAUACAUAUAGACUCUUAUAUCAAAACUUCAGAAUAACUGCAAACCAAAAUCUAUAAUUGAUACACAAACAAGGACUCUCUGGAGAAGAAAUAUAUCUCAUAGUAAAUAAGUGCAUAAUUCACCAUGAAGGGGGUCAUUUGACAUCAUUCUUGGAAUGCUGAAGUCUCCUUAGAUCUGAUUCUGAUUUCCUCUCCAUCAAAGAAUUUAGGAUAGUUAUAAUUAAAUAAUGCAACUGUACAAUUAAAACAUAAAUAAAUAAUAAAAAAAGUAUAAGUGGUAGCUGCCAGGAGAUAAAGUUGAGUCAUAUAAAAUGCACAAAACAAGAGAAGGCAGAAAAGGAGGUGAAAAAGAAACAAAGAACAAAUGCACUAAAUAGGAAAUAGUUACAGGAUGAGAUAUAUUAAUCUAGCUACAUCACUAAUCACUAAAAUUGUGUAUGAUCUAAAUACACCAAAUAAAACAUAGAGCUUGUCAGAGUGGAUCAAAAAACCCAAAAUACCCAACUGCAUGUUGACUAUAAUAAUCCAGUUCUAAAGGACAUAAAAUGAUUCAGUUUAAAAAUAAAGGAAAAAAUAACAUGUCCUGUUAACACAUUUUUUUUUUAAAGAGAAUGCUGCAGUAGCUCUAGCAAAACAAUGCAGACAAGGAAGAUUAUCAGGGUUUAAGAGGGACACUGCUUAAUUAUAAAGAGUCAGUUCUUAAAGAAAACAGAGCAAUCCUAAAUGUGUAUGCACUUAAGAAAAGAGCAUAAAAAUAAAUGAAAAAUCACUAAGAGAAGUGAAAGGGAAACGGGACAAAUCCAUUAUAAUAGUCAUUGAUUUCAACAUGUUUCUCUCAAUUAUUUGCAAUGAAGCAGACAAAAAAAAAACUGUAAGCAUAUAGAUGAACAACAUUGUGAAUCAACUCAAUCUAAUUGACAAUUACAAAGUAGUCAAUACAUCAACAGCAAAAUAGCAUGUAUUUUAUCAAGCUAAUAUGGAAACUUCACCAAGAUAGACCAUAUUAUAGUCCAUAAAAAUACACCCAAACAAAUUUAUACAAAGUAUGUUCUUAGAUGACAAUGAAAAUAAAUUAUAAAUCAAUAGCAGAAAGAUGACCGGAAAGUGCCCUGAUACCCAGAGCUUAAACACCACAACUCUAAUGUUAAAUAGCAAAGAAAAUUUCAGAAUUUUUAAAAUAUUUUAAAUGCAAUGAAAACACAAUUUAGCAAAACAAGAAGAAGGGCAGCUAAAAUAAUAUUUAUACCAUUAAGUACAUUAUAUUAGCGUAAGGGAGGAAAAAAUUUCAACCCCAAAAUGUCUCUUUGGCAUCUGGAUUAUAUAGAGCUGAAAAUAAUCAAGGCUCAAAGGAGUCAGGAAGAAACUUUGGCCUUCCCCCUAGCUGCCUAAAUGAAUGUAGAGAGAGGACCUGUUCCAGAAAAGAAGCUGUCAGCAUAGGUAACUAAAGAAUGAACUAGAUUUGUAAACAGGAAAGAAUCUAGCAAAGUCUGUCUGUAAAAACUCCUCUCUAAGUCCCACCAUCUCUAAUGGCGCAGCAGUUUUGUUUUGUUUUUUUUUUUUAACCAAACAUUUAUUUGCUUUCUAUCUCCAUAUCAAUUGCCUUCCUCCCAAUUUGAAGCCCCACACCCGUUCCUCUAACAUCCUUUUUUGUCUUUAGCUGAAGAUGGUAUUUAAGGUGAAGGUUUUGGUCAUUUUGGUGAGUUACUCAGUUCUCCUGCAUUCCUCCCAUGAAUACUUUUAUUAAACAUUGUUUGAUUUUCUCCUGUUCAUCUGUCUUGUGUCAAUUUCAUUCUUAGACCAGCCAGAAGAACCUGGAAGAGUUCCCAUUGUGGAGCAGUGGAAAUGAAUCCAACUAGGAACCAUGAGGUUGCGGGUUUGAUCCCUGGCCUUGCUCAGUGGGUUAAGGAUCUGGCAUUGCUGUGAGCUGUGGUGUAGUUUGCAGACAAGGCUCAGAUCUGGCAUUGCUGUGACUGUGGCAUAGGCCAGCAGCUACAGCUCUGAUUAGACUCCUAGCCAGGGAACCCCCAUAUGCCAAAGGUGAGGCCCUAAAAAGGACAAAAGACCCCCCUAUAUAUAUAUAUAUAUACACACACACACAUACAUACACAUAUAUAUGAAAUGAAAGGCAAUUUGGCCAUAAUGGAUCACAUGGCCACUAAUGAAACUGAAACAAACACCUUUGACUUGAACCCAGCCAAAAACCAGAUUGGGAUUUGAACCCAUGUGCUGGGACUUGAACCCAACUAAAAGCUAGAUUCAGACUUUAACUUUUUUUUUUUUUUAAAUAGACUCAUUCACCUGGUGUCUGGACUUACUGAGGCUCAGGUUCUUUGUGCCUCAGUGCAGAAGUAAUUCAACCAGAGGCAAACUUGUAGGCAAGAAAUAUAUAUAUUUAGUUAUUUAUUUAUUGCUUUUUUUAGGGCCACACCCACAGCAUAUAAUAAGUUCCCAGGUUAGGGGUCCAAUCGGGGCUAUAGCUACCAACCUACACCACAGCCACAGCAAAGUGGGAUCUGAGCCAAGUCUGUGACAUGCACAGCAGCUCAGGGCAAUGCUGGACCCCUGACCCACUGAGUGAGACCAGGGAUCAAACGUGCAUCUUCAUGGAUACUAGUCAGAUUCUCCUCUGCUGUGCCAUGACAGGAACUCUGAAACAGAUUUAAGAUAGGACACUUGUAAGAGAUACAAGCAGACAAAUGAGGAAGUUCUGUCCCAAGGAUUAGGUGGGCUACACUUUUAUAAUCCAAGGAAAGUGGGGUGGAGGGAAGACCACCUUCUUCCUUGUUCUUUGAGUAGAUGUCAGGCUUAUAUCACUAGCUCCUCCUUGGUAUCAGGUAAGAGAGUAUUUGACCCUAUGAGGGCAAACUAGGACUGUCAUGAUGCUUAUUCAAAUCAGCAGAAGGAUGGUAAUGAUAGGGAUGAGUAGGCACAGGUAUUUGUAGAAGUCCCAAUGAGGGACCAUAGAUAGAGAGGGAAAACUAGGGGACUUUGGAAGACCACUGUUAGUUAAUAACUGCUCAAGAGGGCCAUCAGAACAAGGCAGGCUUGCUUGACUAGCAGAGGCAUGAAAGAUGCCUCAGGUCAUUGAGUGGGGGAUGGGAUGAGGCCAGCAUCCAGAUUCAGACCAAGGGCAGGAAUUUGAGGACCGCCCUUAUGCUGAUUUGAAUAUACACAUUACAAGAUACUAAGGAGGAGCUAAUGCUCAAAGAAAGGGGAAGAGGUGGUCUUUUCCAACCCCCACUCCCCUUGGAUGAUAAAACUGUAGCCAACCAGAUUGGGGGGAGGAGCAGAGCCUCUUUCCCUGCCCAAUUGCAUCUCUCACAAGCAUCCUAUCUUAGUAAAUCUACUUCUUGCCUAUCACUUCAUCUCUCACUGAAUUCCUUCUGUGUGGAGGCAUAAAGAACCUGAACCUCAGUGAAUCCAGAUACCGGAUGAGUGAUUGUAAUUUAAAAUGGUGGGUUCAAGUCCCAAUCUGGGUUUAGGCUGGGUUCAAGUCCUGGCAUAUGCGUUCAAGUCUCAGUCUGGGUUCUGGCUAGGUUCAGGCUUAGUGCUGUCAGUUUCAGCAACAUAUGUUGAAUGAUCUCAGGUUUCCAUAUAUGAGUGUCUCUUAAUUUGGAAUGUCACAUUUUCCUUAAAUUCCUGUCCUUAGUCCUAAAUAUCAUUAUCUUGCUGAAUUUGAAUGUAGACUUCAUUUUAUCCUUCACUUAAUGAAUGACCUGAGACAUAUCUCAUGCUUUUAUUUGUGGUUUUAUAGUUAAGCAAGUCUGCUUCAUUCUGAUGGCUUUCUUGAGAGAUUAUUAAUUUACAGUAGCUUCCCAAAGUUCUCUCAGUUUCCCUCUCUAUGGUCCCCUCCUCAGACUUCUACAACUACUUAUGUAACUAUCCUAUUAUAUCCCUAUUAUGACCACCCCAAUUCCAUGUGGUCCCAGAAGCCCUAUUUACAGUAAUAAGCCAAGAAAAAAAAAGAAAUAAAGGGAAUACAGAUGGAAAGGGAUGAAACAAAUCUGCAUGUAUUCCCUGAUAAUGUUAUUGGCCAUUUAGAAAAUCCCAGGGAAUCUGUUGGACUUCAAGCCACCUUCAAGGAGAUAGAACUCAAAGCCUCUGGCCAAGACAAGAAUUACCAGACCCUGGAGUUCCCGUUGUGGAUCAGUGGUUAAUGAAUCCGACUAGGAACCAUGAGGUUUUAGGUUUGAUCCCAGGCCUUGCUCAAUGGGUUAAUGAUCCAUUGUUGCUGUGAGCUGUGGUGUAGGUCGCAGACAUGGCUCGGAUUCCGCAGUGCUGUGGCUCUGGCGUAGGCUAGUGGCUACAGCUCUGAUUGGAUUCCUAGCCUGGGAGCCUCCAUAUGCCAUGGGAGUGGCCCAAGAAAUGGCAAAAAAG